CCUGCUGCACCACCCCAGAGAGAAGAAAGCAAAAGGGGUGCGUGUGUGUGUGUGUGUGUGUGUGUGUGUGUGUGUGUGUGUGGUGGGGCAGGGGGCGGUUAACUCCUUUUCUUCCCAAACCAUAGUAGUCUGGGGAGGGAGACAUUCAGAGGCUCCACCAGUACCGGGAAAAGCAAACAAUCUGGUGCCAGAAAGCUUUGAGUUCGAUUCCCGGCUCUGUCACUUACUAGAGGCGCGCUCCUUUGUCCUGGUUAUUUAGUCUCCCGCUUCUGGAGAGACUCCCUGGGCCGGGGCGGGGGCCGUUGCGCAGUGCCAGGGAGGUAACGGCUGGGAAAGGGCUUCUGCGUGCUGGAACGCGCCGCUGGGGACCGCGGGGUUACAGGGCUCUCAGCGGGCGCCGCCGCUCCAGCCCCUCGGCCUCGCGCGCGCGGGGCGCCAGUGGGUUUCGUGCUGAAGGCGGGGAGGCCGCCUGCCAGAUGUCGAGUCAGAAAAACGGUCACCGUCGGUGCCUGGACAAUGGGGAGGGGCGCCCUGGGGCCCCGGGGAGACUCGGCCCCUGGCCGCCGCCGCGGGCCACUGCCCAGGCAAUGUAGAGUUUCUCAAAUGUCACUUCAGCUAUCAACAGACAAGAAGGAACUGAGAGAAGAGCCUGGUGCCAUCUCACACACCUGUAAUCCCAGCUACUUGGGAGGCUGAGACAGGGAGAUCCCAAAUUCAAGCAUCCUCAUCUGUUGAAUAGUGAAGGUGGAGGAGUGAUUCAGUGAUCUCUGAAGACCCUGCAAGUUCUAAAUUUCUAUGAUUCUGCUCAUGAAAGAGUCAGAGGUUAACCAGAGGGUGAUAGCUAUGCGAGGAGGCCCAGGUCCAUGUGGCUGAGAAAGCGGUUUUUGUUUACAAAGGAGAAUCAAGCCUAGGGACAGUGGGGAGCCUUCAUUCUGAGUUGUAGGGACCCAGGGCCACCCUCACCUUCCUUUCUGGCAUCUGCCCAGACCCCAGGAGCAUGACCUUACACUCCCCAGCUUCUCCUCUGCUCCCCAUCAGCACUUCCAGCCAGUUACCCUGUGCCACUCCUCUCUGAGAUAUCACUCACCCUUUUAUUUCCCCCCGUCUCCUGACAAACCCACCCUGUCCCCUAGUCCAGACCCUCUCCAUGUCUCUCCUGGGUCUCUGUAAUACACCCCUCACGUUUCUGACCUCCCUCCUGUUGGUUUAUCCCUCUCUCCUAGUUAGUCUCCUAUCUCUUUGACCAAUCUUUCUCAGCUCCCUUGUGUUUCAGCCACCUCACCUGCUUCCCCUUGAUUUGUUCACCCCUUAAAUUUGAGUGAACCCCCUAAAAUUUUGUUCUUAGCCAUUUCACAGUGGUGACAAUAACAACAGCAAAAACAACCAGGAUUUAUUGGUGCUUAUAAACCACAAAGAGCUUCAUAUGUAUUUUCAUUUGAUUCUAUGAGGCACCUAUAAUCUCCAGUUAACAGAAGUCAAUUUUGCCUUCAUGGAAUUUCUAAGAACUGUUCUUUCCCUUUUAUUUCCAUUGCCACUGCCCUAAUUUAAGCCCUUAAUACCUCAUCUUAGAACCUCGCUUCGGUGCCCCAGCUGACAAUACUGUAGGUCUUAGCAGCCGAUGAGAAGGAAAGGAUGUAGUUCCAGUUAACCAAUUGACUAAGGGCUUUUGGCUUAGCUGAACCAGUCCAGGCCCCACUCAGAACAGUGGUUACACAGUGGGCUGUGCUGUAAAGAUAAGGCACUCAGAACUAGAAUCAUUUAGGGGGAAAGAUUAGGGUCACACACAAAAAAUCAGAACCUAUGAGUGGUCUAAGCAGAAAGAGGACAG
ensembl:lncRNA